rnacentral:rRNA from 1 species
AUGCCUCGGGUAUUAGCCACAGCUCGUAUUCAUUCAGUAAUUCUACCCCUUCUUCAUUCUUGGACCUCGCUUCUGAAUAUUUUGACUCUUCCAUGCUGUGUCUUAGGAACCUUUUCAAUACGGUCCGGAUUGCUAGCUCCCGUUCAUAGUUCCGCUACAGACGAUACACGAGGAAGAUUUUUAUGGCGGUUCUUCCUUCUAAUUACAGGCAUAUCUAUGACUCUUUUUUACCAGAUGAAGCAGGAGGCAUCGGUCUGUAGAACCUAUAAAAAAGAGAUGGUUGUGGUGCGAAGUACUCUUGUGCACCUACGUCACUCGGCUCGCGCACAACCCCGAAAGCUAACUGCUUGCUGGCUGGGAGCUGUAUGA